GGGCGGCCGUCCCGGGCCGGGUCCCCUUCCUCCUCGGGGCACCGACGGCCUCUCCUGGCCGGGCUGAGGCCGGCUCGGCCCCGUGCGGCCUUCCGGUUUGCUAGCAUUUUCCUUCUGGGACGCGCACGGAGGCUGUGGAGAGACCCGGCCGGGGUCCGAGGGGGUGGGCGGCCCUAGCGCGGGUCGGGCCGCGGGUCCCACCUGCUGCCGCCCGCCCCGAGUGCCCCAGAGACUCUGCCGCCGCCCGAGCGCGCGGCCCGGGCCACCUGAUGGAACGUGCGGAGCUCACUCCUCCACCUGGCGCCCAUUUGGCUUUUUAUUAUCUGCCUCCCGCAUCCUAACUGGUUCCAGAUUUGCAACCUCAGAGGCGCAGACACCCGGCUGGGCCACGCCAUCGAUCCCCAGAUGGAGUCUUGCUCUGUUGUCAGGCUGGAGUGCAGCGGCCACUGUUACCUCCGCCUCCCGGGUUCACGCGAUUCUCCUGCCUCAGCCUCCCAAGUAGCUGGGACUACAGGCCCAGCUCCAUGAUGAUGCCUCUCUCCAGAGACCUCCUGACCUCCUGACCUGCACAGCCCGGGAGACCACAGCCCACAGCCGCUGCCCCAGGUGUCCACAAGCAUCUCAGCCCCUCCACAGCCCACGCAUCUCCUCUUUCAUUGGCUCAUGGGGAGUGAAGGACAAUGUCUGAAUUAAAUGCCGUGCUUUAAACUGAAAGGGAAACUUAGCAAAUAAAUGAGAGUAACAACA
rnacentral:lncRNA from 1 species